GCCGGGCGUGGUGGCGCAUGUCUAUAAUCCUAGCGGCUCAGGAGGCUGAGGCAGGAGGAUUGAGAGUUCAAAGUCAGCCACAGCACUGGUGAGACACUAAGCAACUCAGUGAGACCCUGUCUCUA
rnacentral:sRNA from 1 species